rnacentral:lncRNA from 1 species
AAAUAAUCUGAGACUGGUAAUGAGUGUGUCAAAUCAACAUGAGGCGAUCAGAAUCCCUUUGUGGACAGUUGUACAUUUGAAAGCAUUUUCUUGGAGUUGUUUGCCUUCAAAAGGCAGGGCCCAGGAUUGUUUAUUGGCUGAAGACUUGGCGUGGGAGAAAAUGAAAGUAGUUUGAUACAGGAGACUGGGAAAUGAUCCUAAUUGUAUCUUGUGAAGGCAAGAAAGCUGGCCUCUCCCUGCUUCCUCUGAUCUCCUGACUUCAAUUUGCUUCCAGACUUCAGGGUCUGGAAGACAGGAACAAAGGAGUUCCUGAUGAGAUCCCAAAGCCAGAAGCUGUCACUCCAAAAGAACAGGCUUGAUCACUUUGGACUAUAAGCAACAGUUUGUACUGUCAUUGAGAGUAUUAGACAAGUGAACAACACAAGUUCCAACAACACAUCACUACUGAAGAUCAGCACCUAACACCAAGACAUCGCUGGAUCGAGGAGUGCUAGGGUGCCAAGAAGACUGUGCACAGAAAGUUUCCAAGAGUCUGGGGAUACAGCCAUUCGUAUUGGUGCUCACUCUUGAAAAGAAGCAUGUACAUGAGGUUCCACCAAGGUCACCCACACCAGCCUGCAGAAAAGGCUUUCUUUCCUCAUGCCACUACGCCUGCUUGAGUCAUGUCUCUCCAUAGAGAGCCAGCGCACAGCAACAGCUCAGACCCCACACUUGUUCAUCAGCCCCCAUUAGUUCUGGUGACCGUGACAGACUAGCAUUUUUGGAUGCGGGAUUUGGAUACUGCUUACUGAAUGCUGCUGGCUGUUGGCAGUUAAUGUGCUUGUAUUUUAAUGGAUGAGCUGAAUUAACUGUUGUUUUGUAUGCUGUUCUCUUCUAGUUCUUACUAUCCUAUUUCAGAGAUGAAAUAAAACAAAUCUCAACUGAAGGCACACAUCUAUCCACACGAUGCCACAUACACAUUUCCACAGCACUUUCUGUUACACCCUGUUGGCUUUUACAAUGGUUUGUUACUGCUCCUUUAUGCUACUCUCGGCAGGGAUUAAGCUUUGUCUGAGCUAUCCAUAUAGCACCUCAGAGAUAAUUUCAUCCUGUGAGGCUGAAACUAAUAGGAAAUCUAUCUGUGGGUAUUCUACUAUUCUUUUACAUGAACAUCACAUUUAUAAUCGAUUAAAAAAAAUCCGAUAACAUUCCUGAUGCUACUGUGAAGUUUCCGUUCAGGUCCAAGAAUUUUUUAUGAAGCUGAGAAAGUGCACGAUAGCGUUGUUCCAAAUAAAUGAAUACAUAAAUAAGUAAAUACAUUUUCUGUAUAUAUACUGCUAUUACGUAUCUAUGAUACUAC